UAGGGAAUCUUCCGCAAUGGGCGAAAGCCUGACGGAGCAACGCCGCGUGAGUGAUGAAGGUCUUCGGAUCGUAAAACUCUGUUAUUAGGGAAGAACAAAUGUGUAAGUAACUAUGCACGUCUUGACGGUACCUAAUCAGAAAGCCACGGCUAACUACGUGCCAGCAGCCGCGGUAAUACGUAGGUGGCAAGCGUUAUCCGGAAUUAUUGGGCGUAAAGCGCGCGUAGGCGGUUUUUUACGUCUGAUGUGAAAGCCCACGGCUCAACCGUGGAGGGUCAUUGGAAACUGGAAAACUUGGGUGCAGAAGAGGAAAGUGGAAUUCCAUGUGUAGCGGUGAAAUGCGCAGAGAUAUGGAGGAACACCAGUGGCGAAGGCGACUUUCUGGUCUGUAACUGACGCUGAUGUGCGAAAGCGUGGGGAUCAAACAGG
rnacentral:rRNA from 1 species